rnacentral:rRNA from 1 species
AUUGAACGCUGGCGGCAGGCCUAACACAUGCAAGUCGAGCGGAUGAAGAGAGCUUGCUCUCUGAUUCAGCGGCGGACGGGUGAGUAAUGCCUAGGAAUCUGCCUGGUAGUGGGGGACAACGUUUCGAAAGGAACGCUAAUACCGCAUACGUCCUACGGGAGAAAGUGGGGGAUCUUCGGACCUCACGCUAUCAGAUGAGCCUAGGUACGAUUAGCUAGUUGGUGAGGUAAAGGCUCACCAAGGCGACGAUCGUUAACUGGUCUGAGAGGAUGAUCAGUCACACUGGAACUGAGACACGGUCCAGACUCCUACGGGAGGCAGCAGUGGGGAAUAUUGGACAAUGGGCGAAAGCCUGAUCCAGCCAUGCCGCGUGUGUGAAGAAGGUCUUCGGAUUGUAAAGCACUUUAAGUUGGGAGGAAGGGCAGUAAGUUAAUACCUUGCUGUUUUGACGUUACCGACAGAAUAAGCACCGGCUAACUUCGUGCCAGCAGCCGCGGUAAAAC